AAAAAAAAAAAAAAGAAAAGAAAAGAAAAGAAAUAUUUGGACCAGCCUGGGUAACAUGGGGAAACCCUGCCCUGUCUCCAUACAUUAGCAGGAGCAAGCAUUUUCUUCUUAAGGAUCUAUGUUAGUGAAAUUACAAUGAAGCUUUUAUUUAUAACUUGCCAAAUAAUCAAUUUACCCUGUUGAGAAAUAACAUGUUGAAAGAAUAACAUGUUAAAGGACAAAUUGGGCCGGGCGAUAUGGUUACAUCUGUAAUCCCAGUACUUUGGGAGACUGAGGAGGGAGGAUUGCUUGAGGCCAGGAGUUGGAUCCUCCCUGGCCCCGGAAACAUAGCAAGACCCUGUCUCUAUAAAAAAGAAAAAAGAAAAAAGAAAAAAAGAAAAUAAAGGACAAGUUACUUAUGUCAUUGUUCCUGUUAGAAUGGCGACACAGAUAAUUUAGUUAAAACGUAUCUUUAACCUUUUUUUUGCGUGGGUGAUUAAUCUGUGAGUCUCUGAUUAUAGCUGGUUGAAUAUUUCCCCCUAAAUAAUUGGUUUUGAGCAUUAAUAAUAGACCUUUAUGUUGAUGACAAUUGUUAUGACUUUAUUCAUAUGCAAUAAAGCCCUUAUAAUAGAUUAUACAAUUAACUUUCUACAGUUGAAAUAAGUGAAAUAUAAAUGGUUUUAGAGGGAUCCAAUUGGAAUUAAGUUAAAGCACAUUGACUUCUUCCAGUUUAGGACCAUAUAACAGUUUUGAAUAUAUUUUUCAUUAUUUGAAACCUUUUUCUUCUAGCAUGUAGUAAUGGUGGGAGAACUAAAUGACACUGAAAAUUCUGGAAAUGAGGAGAAACAGACUAAAGCCACGGGCACCGGAUGAAUGAAGAGAGAGAAGAGUGCUUUAGGUAAGCCUCUGGUUAGACCUAACUUUAAUAAGCUCUACUUGAGAAAGGGGGCACAUGGCCUCUCCUGGGGUACUAUGGCUUCAUUCCUGUCACCCUGAAAUUGCACGGUUCCUCUGAGCAUAGUGGUAUUAAUUAGGGUGGGAGGUUAAACAAAAUAAGCAAAAUUAACAAAGCAUUUGUCCUUCUAUGUAGCAAUGUUCUAGAAAAAUCUUAAUGGAUUUCACUAAUUUAAAUGCCACAACACAAUUAACUUUGUUUUUCCAUCUCUUCUAGAUUGUGGGUGCAUCCUAAUUUUUCUUAUAGUUGUAAGUUCUAAAAAGUGUUGACUAUUUCAUGUACACAAUUAGUAUUGUAAUUACCACAACUGUGGAUAAAAAUGUCAUCUCUUGUUUAUCUUCUCACACUGUUACUUGUGAAUUGUGGAGUGUGAUGUGUAGAGCUGUUUUGGGAGGUGGGAUACAGGUAGGACCCCUAACCAAGAAGCCUGCCUCACAGAGAGGGCGCCUUACUCCACAUUAAAUGUUCACAGUCCUUUGCCUCACUGUCUAAUUGAGAAGAAUAUUAGUACAUCACUAGCUCAAUCCCAAGUAAAUUUCCAAAUGGGAAGUCUUACAACACUUUUGGAAGAUACGUGGAUGAGGCUUUCAGGUGACUUGUAAGUCUUUUUUUUUUUUUUUUCUUUUAGNNNNNNNNNNNNNNNNNNNNNNNNNNNNNNNNNNNNNNNNNNNNNNNNNNNNNNNNNNNNNNNNNNNNNNNNNNCCAGGUUCAGGUGAUUCUCCUGCCCCAGCCUCCUGAG
rnacentral:lncRNA from 1 species